GACUCGAUGGCGGGAUGGGUCCGCAUCUGCAUUAUUUGCCGGUUGCAUGGAAUCUUCGCAGAAGGUGCCUGUUCGAAUCAGGCUCGAGUCU